UACAGAGGGUGCAAGCGUUGUUCGGAAUUAUUGGGCGUAAAGCGCGUGUAGGCGGCUUGGCAAGUCAGAUGUGAAAGCCCUCGGCUUAACCGAGGAAGUGCGCCCAAAACUGUUUGGCUUGGGUACCGGAGAGGAUGGUGGAAUUCCCGGUGUAGAGGUGAAAUUCGUAGAUAUCAGGAGGAACACCAGUGGCGAAGGCGGCUUUCUGGACGGUAACUGACGCUGAGACGCGAAAGCGUGGGGAGCAAACAGG
rnacentral:rRNA from 1 species